CAAGCCAGAGUCCUACGGCACAUUCAUAGACUGAAUUCCAAAGCCAGGCCAGUAAAGUCUUUACAGUUCACCAUACUAAUAUUGUCUGUGUAUAUAUAGUAGGUUUAGGGGCCAGGAAGCCAUCACUGAGCUGGAGCUGUAUCAAAUCUGAGCAGCAGCAGCAACACAUGCUUGAUACUGUCAUUCAGUGCCUAGGAGUACGAGACAUGGAUCAUGAUCCACAUUGUGCUAAGCACUGUCUGCACAGACAACAACAAAUAACAAGGAGAGGCAGUCCCUAUUCCGAAGAACUCACGUUCCAAGUAACUGUCACAGCUAGGCCAACGAACAAGGUGUUGUAGCAGCUGAGAUGAAUCUCAAGAGGGAGAGAUGAUCACAAAUCACUUUGUUUAAGAUUGCUUGAGAAAUUUGGGGCACAAACUCCCAGCAUAAGAAGUAAGGUAGAAGAUAAAAGCUGUGACAUGGAGCUGAGGAUACUUGAGAUCAUCAGAUGCCACACUUACAUCAGAUUAACUACCCAGUCAUCAGGUGGCUGAAAGCUACAGCAAGAUGCUUUGAUGCAAAGAGGCUUAGAAGUUAUGCAAAGGUCCCUUUAUAGCCCAGAAAGUAGAAAAUCCAACCAACGGAAUAAGCUAAAGUAACCAUAACACUUGACUGUUACUCUGCAAAAAUGAAGGUCCUCCCAUGCAGAAGAUCACAGUCUGAAACAGAGGAGGUGCUGUUGUGACAUCAGCUAUUGGAUAUAUUUCAACAGAUCUUUGGUUUGGGCGAUGGAGGAAGAAGUGAGCUGUUUAUUCAAUGUUACUUAGUCCUGUGCCUAAUGAAUAGAGCUGAUCACAAUUUUUUUUCUUGAAAUUGAAAAU